UGUGAUGAUAAUGACAGUAGCAGGUAAGAAACCCCGGCUAACUCCGUGCCAGCAGCCGCGGUAAUACGGAGGGGGUUAGCGUUGUUCGGAAUUACUGGGCGUAAAGCGCGCGUAGGCGGACUAUUAAGUCAGGGGUGAAAUCCCGGGGCUCAACCCCGGAACUGCCCUUGAUACUGGUAGUCUUGAGUUCGAGAGAGGUGAGUGGAAUUCCGAGUGUAGAGGUGAAAUUCGUAGAUAUUCGGAGGAACACCAGUGGCGAAGGCGGCUCACUGGCUCGAUACUGACGCUCAGAUGCGAAAGCGUGGGGAGCAAACAGGAUUAGAUACCCUGGUAG
rnacentral:rRNA from 1 species